CUCCACUUGAAUGUAGCUCUUCAACCUGGGCCUGAAGCAGGAGAUGUGAUAGCGGAACCUGUCCUCUGCGGAGCUCGACAUGGUUGGUUCUCAGCGAGGGCCGGAGGAGUCUCCCGGAGGCCGACGAUCCGCAGAUCCUCGAAGUCGCAGGAUCCGUUUCUGUUUCGAUUCUCUUCUCCGGACUUUACUAACGUCAACUUCCGGGCCAGAGAAUUAGUUUCGGGAGGGAGGAGGGAAGCAUGUGGAGGCAGCUGGUUAAGGGAGGGAGGACUUUGGUCAAGGACACCAUCGGAGGGCGGAAAACCCGGAGGGAAAGCGAAUUCGCCUUGGUGUUGAGAAAGCAAGCGAUGCUCUGCCAUGUAUUAUCUGCGGAUAUUUUGUCUUCCCCGACGGGUGCUGCCUACAAGACCGGACCCACUUGUCAGUUAACAUGCAAGGAAGGUCUUAAAGGAAAAUGAAGAAUUGCCCUUAACCCUGAAGUAAAAAUUGAGUUGCUCUCAUUUGUGGGGGUCGAGGGGUGGAAGUGAGGCAGGUGGAGGGAGGUUCCAGAAUACUGGAGCUCAAGGAGGCAUUUCUGCACACUCCCUACAGUAAACCUCACAGCCAGUGGGGUCCACAAAACUAAUUUGCUCCUCCCAAGAACUGAAACUUAAGUAUAAAAGAGCGAACAAUACUAAACAGCUUUGUUUUCCCGUGCUUUGAUUGGCAGUAUAAUAUUUAUUCAGAUUUGACCUGGGCCUGCCUAGUGACAGAUGCCUGCUGACUUUAGCCACCAAUUCUGCCAAGACUGACAGCCUCCUCUCUUCCGGGGUGUAAGUUCCCUGUAUUCUUUAGUAGACAACUUUCUUAUAAUGAAACAAAACAAAACAACAACAACAACAACAAAACCCUCAGCAACUUAUUUUUGAUCUAGCUGCCGUUCUUUUCUUGGACUGAAUACAACAAGUUUUGGCUGAAGCGUCUAGUAACCUAAUUAGCAACUAAUGUACUGCCUUGUAGUAAACAUCAACAUUUGUCUAUGUCAUCCUAGAGAAGGAGAAAAACAAGGCAUUCACAGUGGGGGGGGGGAGGGAAGGCAGCUUUGUUCCUGUACUUAAAACGUACAGAAACCGUAUAAAUGUGAGUCUGUGUGUCGCUGUCCACAAAGCAGGCAACUAGAUGACAAAUAUGGAGGUACAUUAAUAUUUUAAGUAGAAUUUCCUGAUCCAGAAUCAUAUGGGAACUGGAAGUUGUCAGAAAGACAAGCUCACUGAAAUCUGGUGAGUUUUAGUUAUUGAUUCUGCAAACGGCAUCUUUUUGAGAUAUUAGCAAAAUCUAUUAUCCAAUUUCCCAGCUGCCUAUGGGUUCUAUUCUACACGACACAGCAGAAAUUGACCAAUAAACCAAAAAUCAUUCUA